rnacentral:lncRNA from 1 species
CAACAACAAAAAAACCUUCCUAGGCACCCCUGUGUGAACAGGGUGCCCUCAUGGUUUCUAUAUAAAGCAGAGUUUUUAAAAUAAGUUUUUACUUUUAAACCCUUGAGUCUGUGAUGGGCAUGGUCUUGUUUAUUCCUGAGGGCAUCUUUCCUAUUGUCUUUGUGCAAAGAAGUUGGUUUCUCUUUAAUGGUACUAAUAUCUUCAACAACCACAACUUCCUUGGCCCCAUUCUACACGUGUUUUUCUGGCCAGAUGAAUUUCCAAAUCUUUCUGAUCAGUUUUUUCCCCCUGAUUCUUACAGUAAAUCAAGCUACAAGCUUCCAGUAAUAUGCAUGCCACUAUCUGAAUGCUGUACUACCUUGAAAUUUCCUCCACCAGAUUCAUCACUCCAUCGCCUUUAAAUUUAGCUUACCAUAGACCAGUUCAAUUCAAACUCCUCCCACAAACCAAUUCCAAAGGUCCAAAGUCCUGAACAACAUGGUUAGUGUAGUAAUAGCAACAACUCCACUUCUUGUUACCACUAUGUUAGUUAGCUUCUUAUCAUGUUGACCAAAAUACCUGACUAGAACAUCUUAGAGGGGAUAGAUUUAUUUUGGCUCAUGGUUUCAGAGGAUUCAAUCGAUGCUUGGCUGGUUCCCAGAUAGAAGAACAUCGUGGCAGAAGGGCAUAGUAGAGGAGAGAUGCUCAGCUCUUGGAGGCCAUGAAAUGGGAGACAACAUAAACUGUUCCAUGGCAUACCCCUAGUGACCUAAUUCCUCCAACUAGACCCCACUUCACAGUAGUCCAUUCAGCUAUUAGUAAAUGAAUCAAUUUGAUGAGAUAAGAGCCCUCAUGAUCCAAUCAUUACCUAAAAGUCCCACUUCAGAACUGUGCUGUAUUAGCACCAUACUUUCAACACAUAAAUUUUGGGGGGACAAAACCAAUCCAUAACAUGGGAUGAGUAGCGUACUUAGAAUUCUAGCUCAGAUGGCUGAGAUUAGUAUGGCUUCUACAAAGUUAAUUUUUCAGAGCUUCAUAUUAUCCAUAAACAUACAGUAU